AAGUUCAAGUUCAAAUUCAGGUGUGGGAUUUAUUUCAGUACAUGCCAGUGGUUAAUUCUUGUCCAUUUUAAUAUCAUGUGUUUACCAUAUGUGAGUUGCAUUAAAUUAUAUCGCUAGGGGCCCGCUCAAUGGGUCCAGGACAUUAAAGUCCUUGGUAUGCCACAAUGCGAUUUCAUGUUAAAGUUAUGGUUGCAACCAGUCGCCAGGGGCCGGCUCAAUCGGUCCAGGACGGAAAGGUCCUUGGUUUUAAAGACCGGAGGCGCGUGGAAGGUCGAAUGGCGAGUCAAAUAUUUUGAAUUUAGUUUUACUUAAAAAUGUUAUGUUUAGUAAAGUAUUUUAAAAUAAGAUAUUUAUUUCUUUAUUUUCACAUUAUAUAUUUAUUUAUAGUCA